GCAAUAUUUUAAGCUGAGGAACUCUACCUAAUUGAGGAACUCUACUGUGACAUCCAGUCAUAAAAGUUUAACAUAUUUACCAUUGACAGCACAGUGGCAUGUGAAACUAUUAACUGACCUGGUAACUUGACAGGUAAAAAGUCACUGUCCAAAUGCCUAGUGUAUACAGGGUGCUAAAAGACGUACGUAUGAAAUAAAGUUUGGCAAAGAUGAUGAAGGAUUUGUGCACUGAUGCAUAUAAGAGUAUUUAAGAAAGUCUGGUGAGCUUUGUAAUGAGUUUUCCUUUCUUUUUGUAUAAACAAUACUGAGAGAUGAGACCUAGCCUAUUUUCUGCUAAAAGUCUUCCACCUCUUGCUCCUUUAUACUUGAUCACUUGUAUUCAACUUUUAAAGUAGUUUACUCACAAACAUUUUGUUAAAAGUGUAUUGGUGAAAAACAGUGAAAAAUUAUUUUAAAAGAACAUUAUUGGAAAAUCAAGUACUCAAAACAUUUAGUGUAUGCUAGAAGGAAGGUUAUCAAAUUGCGGUGAAAAUGAAGUGUGAGGUAAUCUUUAAUUACAUGACCACAAUCUUUCCUUCCUCCCUCCUUCCCCCCUGAAAUCAUAACUACCACAUUUCCUCCAAAUAAGACAUAUACCUUGUUUUGAGAAUACAGAAGGAAGAAAAUAUAUUUUCCAGAGUCAUGGCCAAAUGAGGUUUUGUAAAGAAGGGACAGAGUCUGCUUUUCAGUAACACUCACUCUGUCCCUGAAAACUCCCCUGCUCAGCCAAAAUUUCCUGCCAAAUUGGCAGUGGCUGUGAUGGGGUUAAAAGGGUUUUUAGCAUAAGCUAAAAUACAUUCAUUUGUAAUUUGAGCCCAGCUCAGAAUGUUUUACAUUAGGAGUUACUUGCAUUAAAAAUGCAGCAGGAUCUUUUUUUUUUUUUUUUUUUUUUUUAUGAAAGGAAAACUCUUCUAAGUUUUAUUCUGAGCAUCAAUUUGAUGUUGUCAGCAAAGAUCUGCAAAAUUUAAGAUGACGGAGCAUCUAUGUGACUUGUUUAGUCUUUAGAUGACAUUUCUAGUAUAUGGGCCUGGGAACUGAAAGAUUUUGUUCUUUUGGAUUCUGCCACGAACUUGCAACCAAUUGCUAUUUCUCCUUGCUCAUUGAACAAAAAGGUAUUUGGAGCCAUAUAGAAUCAUAUCUUUUGGGGCUUAGUCCUGAAUGCUGUUGAAAGAAGAUUGGAGAACCAAUGGGUUAGUUCUACCCAAAUGGAAACUCUAGACACCAAAACAUGUAUUUGGGAUCCAGAUUUUAAGUCACAACGAGCAUUGUUGAGCCUUCAUUUAUAUGUGCCGAUCCAAUAUUUGCACUCAGUACUGUUUACUUAGGCACACUUACCUGUUUGCCAGUACAAUUUGGAAAGUUUAUGUAUAGAAGCACUUUUGUUAACAUUUUAAAAACUUCGUGUUCAUUAAUCCAUUGCUUUCACCUGUUUUGUGUAGAUGAAUACGCAUCAUUGUCAUUAUGCAAAAAUGAGAGAGACUGAACCCAAGAAAAGGGAAGUGACUUGCCCCAGUACACUCAUCAAUUAUGAAUAUGAUUGCCAGUCCCACUUCAUACUAUUAUCAGGAAAAAAACCAAAUCAAACCUAUGCCUGCUUCCAGAUAAUCACCCUUUUGCUUCAAAGUUUGGGACUAGUUAUACAUUUGAUACGGUGACUGUAUAAUGCAACCAGAUUAACCACCUUCUCUUCCCCGCCCCCAAUCUUUUUAAAAGAAGAUCGUAUUCAGGUUUUUUGUUUUAAAAGGGAUAGACUCCCAUGUUCAGGAGAAGAUACCAUGUUGUUGAUCCCAAGCACAGGAAAAUCACUAUUUGCAGUCCUUAAUAAGGCCUCUAAGCCUCAGAAAAAGCUUAAGAUACACUCUUAUUUUCAGCAUUUUCCAGUUGGCUAGUUCUAGGUAACUUCUAACUCAGGGUAAUGGUUCUUGUGAAUCCAUUUCUUAGAUGCCUAACUCUGUCUUCACUCACUCUGUGUGGAGUGUAAGCACCUAAUGUUUUCUGAAUUCAGCUCUUGGAGACCAGGUUUGUUAGCACAUGUGAUGAUAAGAAUUGACUCAUUAUAGACACUUUGAUUUGAUUCAGCCCAACUUUCUCAUAAAAAAAAAAUUCCCAGUGAGCUGACCAUCUUUACUUGUGUAGAGCUGUUGGAAAUCAUUGACAGUCCACACCACUUCUGGUUAUUUAUUCUUGUAUGUGGAGUCACUCCAUAUUUAUAUGUCGGCUACAGAUAAGAGAGAACACGGGGAUGUAGGAGAAGAUCAGAAGAGGAGUAUAAGCAGAGACCCACUUCUCUCAGUGAGCACAAGGUACUGGUCGUGACUGCGGAUACAGAAGUCACUACAAGCCCUGUGGUGAUACUAUAUCUUCUGCUAGAAAUUAUAUUGCUAUAAGAGAAGAGUAAGACAAAUAAAAAGACUAAUGAUCUUCUUGGCCUGAAAAACUGUAAACCUAGGCAGAGCUUGCUGAAGAUGCUAAAAUUUCCUUCCAGAAAACAUCUGGAAGAUUGGAAUAUCGGAAGAUGCUGGCAACAGACAGACUCUAUUUCCUUUAAAAAUGUUCCAUCAUGCCAUGAGCUGUAAACUGUUUUAAAGAAAAUAAUAUCAAGAGUUGCCAUGAGUUGUAGAAUAAAUAUAUUUAAAUCAUGCAGUUUUCUUUAUAUAUUUUUUUUUCUGAAAAUAUAAAGAAGCUCUUUUAUAUAGCAGGAACUUGAAAUGCACAUCAAGAUGGAAUGAUUUUUCUUCAAAAAGCAUGAUAAUAGUUAGUGACCUGAAGGAGUUGACUUGGUGCAGAAAUUGGCCUUCAUUUCUAGUAGCAAAUGUACUGAUAAUAAAAAUAUUUUGUAUAGAAGUAUUUUGCAUAUGUUUUUUAUGUGCAAGUUACUUGGAGCUAAAUUAAAAUAUGAUCUACAUCCAUGUACACUUCUUUCCCAGGGUACUUUACAUACUCUAGACUUAAUUAGGAUCUUAUUGUCAUUUGUUUUUUAUACCAGUGUAACUCCAUUGAUUUAAUAACUACUCCUGACUUAAACUGGUAUAAAUAAGAAGAGAAUUAAACAGUAGAUCUACUGGGUUUAGAUCACCCACCACUGAAAUGCAGUCUCUUGAAAAACAGCAUACUGUAACAGCAAAUAAUAGAAAGUGUGAAAUGCAUUUUAAAGAGUUUGCAACACCCCUAAGUUGUGAUGCUAGUUUAUGGACCUAUUUUUAAGGAGUUGUAGUUGAAAUGAAGUCAUGCCAAGAAUUUUAGACAUUUGUAAGAUACCAGUCAAUCUGGAGGACUGUGUAAAGGAGUAAUUCUUUGAGAAUGAAGGCCACAUAAUAAAGUAUAGGGGCCCAGAAAAUCCGUUAGAUUCUAUUGGGAAGAGUCCAUAGAGAGCUGUAAAUAAUUGGAAAGCAUUUAACCAAGAAGCAAUAGAAUAAGUAAAAUAGGAGGCAAAUUGUUCUGUAAUGUAUUGGCAGAGUAAAUAGCUGGAAAAUUUCUACCAGGUAACUUUUUAUAGCAUGUAAGUUUAGGCUAUUACUUUACCUAGUUUGUAAUAUUCCACCUUACAUUAUGGAGUUUGUAAUGUAGUUUGGUUUUUUUUUUAAUUUUUUUUUUUUGUAAUUAAU